rnacentral:rRNA from 1 species
CCUACGGGUGGCUGCAGUGGGGAAUAUUGGACAAUGGGCGAAAGCCUGAUCCAGCCAUGCCGCGUGUGUGAAGAAGGCCUUCGGGUUGUAAAGCACUUUCAGUGGGGAAGAAAGCCUUGGGGCUAAUACCCUCGAGGAAGGACAUCACCCACAGAAGAAGCACCGGCUAACUCCGUGCCAGCAGCCGCGGUAAUACGGAGGGUGCGAGCGUUAAUCGGAAUUACUGGGCGUAAAGCGCGCGUAGGCGGUCUGAUAAGCCGGUUGUGAAAGCCCCGGGCUCAACCUGGGAACGGCAUCCGGAACUGGCAGACUAGAGUGCAGGAGAGGGAGGUAGAAUUCCCGGUGUAGCGGUGAAAUGCGUAGAGAUCGGGAGGAAUACCAGUGGCGAAGGCAGCCUUCUGGACUAACACUGACGCUGAGGUGCGAAAGCGUGGGUAGCAAACAGGAUUAGAUACCCCGGUAGUC